CCUACGGGUGGCAGCAGUGGGGAAUAUUGCACAAUGGGGGAAACCCUGAUGCAGCAACGCCGCGUGAGUGAUGACGGCCUUCGGGUUGUAAAGCUCUGUCUUCAGGGACGAGAAUGACGGUACCUGAGGAGGAAGCCACGGCUAACUACGUGCCAGCAGCCGCGGGAAUACGUAGGUGGCGAGCGUUGUCCGGAUUUACUGGGCGUAAAGGGAGCGGAGGCGGACUUUUAAGUGAGAUGUGAAAUACUCGGGCUCCACUUGAGGGCUGCAUUUCAAACUGGAAGUCUAGAGUGCAGGAGAGGAGAAUGGAAUUCCUAGUGUAGCGGUGACAUGCGUAGAGAUUAGGACGCACCCCAGUGGCGACGGCGCUUCUCUGGACUGUAACUGCCGCUGAGGCUCGACAGCGUGGGGAGCAAACAGGAUUAGAUACCCCAGUAGUC
rnacentral:rRNA from 1 species